AUAAGCUCUAAUAGUUUAAUUAAAAUAUUGAUUUUGUAACUCAAAGAUCCAUUUUGGAGCUUCAG
rnacentral:tRNA from 1 species